rnacentral:rRNA from 1 species
AGUUGUAGGCUUUGCCUGCUAUCUCUUACCCAUGUCUUUUGAGUACCUUCGUUUCCUCGGCGGGUCCGCCCGCCGAUUGGACAAUUUAAACCAUUUGCAGUUGCAAUCAGCGUCUGAAAAAACUUAAUAGUUACAACUUUCAACAACGGAUCUCUUGGUUCUGGCAUCGAUGAAGAACGCAGCGAAAUGCGAUAAGUAGUGUGAAUUGCAGAAUUCAGUGAAUCAUCGAAUCUUUGAACGCACAUUGCGCCCCUUGGUAUUCCAUGGGGCAUGCCUGUUCGAGCGUCAUUUGUACCUUCAAGCUCUGCUUGGUGUUGGGUGUUUGUCUCGCCUCUGCGCGCAGACUCGCCUCAAAACAAUUGGCAGCCGGCGUAUUGAUUUCGGAGCGCAGUACAUCUCGCGCUUUGCACUCAUAACGACGACGUCCAAAAGUACAUUUUUACACUCUUGACCUCGGAUCAGGUAGGGAUACCCGCUGAACUUAAGCAUAUCAAA